rnacentral:pre_miRNA from 1 species
GGCUCAAAUUUGAAGUAAGGUGAAUUAGUAAGGUUAGCUGACCCUACUGAUCUACUGUACUUUGAAAUUGGGCCC